rnacentral:rRNA from 1 species
CCUACGGGAGGCUGCAGUAGGGAAUAUUGCUCAAUGGGGGAAACCCUGAAGCAGCAACGCCGCGUGGAGGAUGCCGGUUUUCGGAUUGUAAACUCCUUUUGUUAGAGAAGAUAAUGACGGUAUCUAACGAAUCAGCACCGGCUAACUCCGUGCCAGCAGCCGCGGUAAUCCGGAGGGUUCAAGCGUUCCUCGGAAUCACUGGGCGUAAGAAGUGCGUAGGCGGGAUAGUAAGUCAGAUGUGAAAUCCUAUGGCUUAACCAUAGAACUGCAUUUGAAACUGUUAUUCUAGAGGAUGGGAGAGGGAGGUGGAAUUCUUGGUGUAGGGGUAAAAUCCGUAGAGAUCAAGAGGAAUACUCAUUGCGAAGGCGACCUGCUAGAACAUAACUGACGCUGAUGCGCGAAAGCGUGGGGAGCAAACAGGAUUAGAUACCCGUGUAGUC